AGUGAACGCUGGCGGUAGGCCUAACACAUGCAAGUCGAACGGCAGCACAGUAAGAGCUUGCUCUUACGGGUGGCGAGUGGCGGACGGGUGAGGAAUACAUCGGAAUCUACUUUUUCGUGGGGGAUAACGUAGGGAAACUUACGCUAAUACCGCAUACGACCUACGGGUGAAAGCAGGGGAUCUUCGGACCUUGCGCGAUUGAAUGAGCCGAUGUCGGAUUAGCUAGUUGGCGGGGUAAAGGCCCACCAAGGCGACGAUCCGUAGCUGGUCUGAGAGGAUGAUCAGCCACAUUGGAACUGAGACACGGUCCAGACUCCUACGGGAGGCAGCAGUGGGGAAUAUUGGACAAUGGGCGCAAGCCUGAUCCAGCCAUACCGCGUGGGUGAAGAAGGCCUUCGGGUUGUAAAGCCCUUUUGUCGGGAAAGAAAAGCAGCAGGUUAAUACCCCGCUGUUCUGACGGUACCCAAAGAAUAAGCACCGGCUAACUUCGUG
rnacentral:rRNA from 1 species